AUGCUGUGGGCUCUAGCUCUACUCCUAGCUUUCCUGGCUCCUGCCAGUCAGAUAUCCUUCAAAUCAGAAUGGAGAAAGUUGUCAAUAACCAAGCAGAAUGGGUCGUCCGCUAUAAUCACCUGUGAUAUUGUUGACAAAACCGUCCACUACAUCCACUGGUACCGACAUCAAGAGGGAAAGGCCCCACACCGCCUUCUCUACUUUUCGUUCACUGGCUCAAAGGUUGUGUUAGAAGACGGAACUAGUCCAGAAAAAUAUGAUGUUUAUGAAGGCUCGGGAAGGACCUGUAAAUUUGUCAUCCAAAAUCUGGCAGACAGCGAUGCUGGUGUAUAUUACUGCGCCGCCUGGGACAGCCAUUAUACAAAAAAAUUCGGUGACGGAACAAAGGUUGUUGUUACAUGUAAAAACCUUGAAGAAGAUUAUUCGCCCAAGCCCACAGUUUUUCUUCCUUCAGUUGCUGAAAUAAACCUCCAUAAGGCUGGAACAUAUCUUUGUAUUCUUGAGAAAUUUUACCCUGAUGUUAUUAAGAUAGAUUGGAAAGAAAAGAAUGGUGAUAAAAUUUUGAAGUCACAGGAGGGAGAUACCAUCAGGACUAUUCACACGUACAUCACGUACAUGAAGUUCAGCUGGCUGACCGUAACUGAAACAUCAAUGGAUAAAGGCCACGUUUGUGUUGUCAAACACGAGUUUAACAGAGAAGGGAUUGAUCAAGAGAUUUUCUUUCCUUCAAUAAUGGAAGGCAUUACAACAAUUUGGAAAAAUGAAAACAGGUCACUGCAGCUGCAGUUCCCCCACACCUCUGCCUAUUACACCUACGUCCUCCUCCUUCUCAAGAGCGUGAUCUACUUUGCCAUCAUCGCCUUCAGUCUGUUCAGGAGACGAGGAGCUUGUUGCAAUGGGAAGAUUCCCUAA